rnacentral:rRNA from 1 species
UAGCGGAGCGUGUGGUUUAAUUCGACGCAACGCGAAGCACCUCACCCAGGCUUGACAUGUAGCCGCAAGCGCACGGAAACGUGUGACCUUCGAGGGUGCUACACAGGUGCUGCAUGGCUGUCGUCAGCUCGUGUCGUGAGAUGUUGGGUUAAGUCCCGCAACGAGCGCAACCCUUGCUAUCAGUUACUCGUGUCUGACAGGACUGCCCGAUGGGAGGAAGGCGGGGAUGACGUCAAGUCAGCAUGGCCCUUACGCCUGGGGCUACACACACGCUACAAUGGCCGGUACAAUGCGUUGCCUACCCGCAAGGAGAAGCUAAUCGCCAAAACCGGUCUCAGUGCAGAUCGGGGGCUGCAACUCGCCCCCGUGAAGGCGGAGUUGCUAGUAACCGCGA